rnacentral:lncRNA from 1 species
AACCACUUCAUCUUUUCGAUUAGCUUCAUUAUCAACUUCCCGCCGCGGUACCUAUGGCGUUGCGUUGCAGGGCUCGACAUCGCGAGGGCGACUUUCUCUGUCUGCUUCUUCAGGUCCUUUCUAACAACACUUAAUCUUCGAAGAACAGUCGUGCACAUGCACAUGAACAGAAUUAGAAGCAAGAGCAUGGGCAACGUAGCGCAUCCUUACUCCGACAGUAUAGGCCGGUACAAGGUGGUGAAAAUGCACUCCCCAUAAGGCCGAUGUGGGUGGAAGUAAAUUUACCUCGCAUCACCUGGACAGCUUCGGAGCAUACGUUUUACGCGUAUUCAAAUUCAUGAAUAAUGUCCCUUGUGCGGACGAAUACAACGGAGUCAAAUGGUGAACACA